rnacentral:lncRNA from 1 species
GCUUUUACUUAUUCCUCGUGCCUUCUUUACUAAUUGCUAUCUUGAAGUCUUUCACUUUCUAUUUGGUCAAUUUUGGUAAUUUCUACUUUGCUACAAAGUCAUAUGUUUUCCUUGUGUUUUAGAUUCGUUGCAAUAGUGGCAUGCAUUAGUCUCUUAACUUUUUAAAGUUUCUUUGUCUAUGUUUAGGUAUUUUUUAUUUUGUAUGUAUUUUUUCUCCCUGUUGCUGUUAUCAGAUCUCAGAGAUGAUUUUCUGUAUCUGUCUUACUGGUGUUUGUGAAGAACAAGCUUUUAGAACUUAUUUUUCAUUUUAGUAUACAGUCGUAUGUUACUUAAUGACAGGAAUGUGUUCUGAGAAAUGCAUCCCUAAGUGAUUUCAUCAUUGUGCAAACAUCAAUGAGUAUACUUACAUAAAUCUAGAUGGUAUAGCCUACUACAUAUGUUGCUGUAUGGUACAGCUUAUUGCUCUUAGGCUACAAACGUGUACAGCAUGACACUGAACUGAAUAAUGUAGGCAACAGUAACACAAUGAUCUUUGCAAGGAUGUGUUCUUCAUUUAUCAUCAUGCAUUCCCAGCCGUAGAAUUGCUGUGCCAUGUGAGUAUUCAUAUUUAACUCUUGAAGAAAGGACCACACUGUUGUUCCAAAUUCCCUCUAUGAUUUUUUCAUCCUCACCGAUACCUGCCAUUUUCUGCCUCUUGAUUAUAGUCAUUCAAGUUUUAGUUUCAAGAAAUCUAAUGAGAUUAACCUUUGUAUUUCAAACUGCCCAAAACUGACCACUAAGCUAUUGAGGAAUGCCUGUCCAUCUCUGUGGUAGUGGUGGGAAGGAAGAAACAUUCUGUUAACACUAUGUUCUACUUGUUUUCUGCUAGUUAUUUUCAAUUCUUG